rnacentral:rRNA from 1 species
UUGUUCGCCAAACAACUACGAGUAGUAACUUAAAACUUAAAAGACUUGACGGUACUUCACUACAUCCUAGAGGAGCCUGUCUAAUAACCGACAACCCACGAUUAACCCCACCCUAUCUUGCCAACAGUCUAUAUACCACCGUCGCAAGCUUACCUUGUAAAAGAACCACAGUGAGCUCAACAGCCCAACUCUAAUACGACAGGUCGAGGUGUAACUAAUGAAAGGGUCACAGAUGGGCUACAUUCUCUUUCUAGAGAAUACGGAUAACACUAUGAACAUAGUGUUUGAAGGAGGAUUUAGCAGUAAGAUGGGAAUAAACUACCUAGCUGAACAUUUCGCAAUGAAGUGCGUACACACCGCCCGUCACCCCUGCAACACU